rnacentral:tRNA from 2 species
GGCGCCGCCGGCGGGCGGCUGGCCGCGGCGGUGUCGGCGGCCGGCGGGCUGGGCAUGAUCGGGAUGGGCAGUUCGGCCACGGCCGCGGCGCUG